CAUUAAGAAGCUAAACUGGGUUAAAGCAUCAGCCUUUUAAGCUGGAAAGUGGUGACCUCCCAACCACCCUUGAUGA
rnacentral:tRNA from 1 species